rnacentral:rRNA from 1 species
GACAGAGGUCCCGAGCGUUAGGCGGAAUCACUGGGCUUAAAGCGUGUGUAGGCGGAUCCGUAAGUACCUUGUGAAAUCCCACGGCUCACCCGUGGAACUGCUCGGUAUACUGCGGGUCUUGAGCCACCUAGGGGCGAGCGGAACAAACGGUGGAGCGGUGAAAUGCGUAGAUAUCGUUUGGAACGCCAAUGGUGAAAACAGCUCGCUGGGGGUGUGCUGACGCUGAGACACGAAAGCCAGGGAAGCAAACGGG